UAAACCCUAAAAAAAAAAGUUUGGAUAAAGGUUACAAGUGCAGCGGAUAUAGAGGGAGACUAAACCGGAGAUUAACGCUGUGUUUUUAUGCCCUUUGAUUAGUGUUUUGCGCUGCCAACUGAUCAUCAAAGCAGUCACAGCUGAUUGGAAAUGUGGUUAAUCUCUGUGUUUAAAAAAUUUGUAUGCCAACAAGAACUUCGAAAACUGCAUUACAACACAUUUAUGAAGGUUGCCUUCAACACUGGAAGCACUUUUCGCUCUCAAAGGGUUAUCUACCUUAUCUGUCGUAUUUAUGUCCCAUUUAUCCACUCUCACACCUUCGGGAAACGGGCACAAGGCACAGCCUGUCUGAUUUUCUUGUUUGGAAUUGCCACAGUCACCGCAGCAAUAAAUCAAUUAUAGUCAUAAGAGCAAAUGGAAA